rnacentral:lncRNA from 1 species
CUAGAACACAGCGGAGCUCACAGCUGUAGAAAACUCUAUUCCAAUCGAUAAUCUUUUUCCAACCUUUGGGUACUUUCUUUCACCCAAGGAUCUCAAGGCCUGCGGGGCCUGAACAAGGACGACAGGGAUGUAGAUCACCCAGCCUUGUCCUUAGACGCCUAUAAUGUCUCCCUGGGAGUCUGUGGUGAGGUUUGAGCACAGUCAAGAAGAGAUUGAGGAACAUUGAAGGAAGACCAAGGUAUGUCACCAUGGAGGCCUAGGCAGAGCACUGAAGACAAAGGAUGGCAUCAGGAAAGAGCAGGUCUGAAGGCCGGUGCUCAGAGAACAUCCCACCACAGCCAAGGGCACCACCCCAGGAGUCAACCACUCAGCCUUUGAAUAAAUGAACACUGAGUCUCGGGGGUCCAGGGAUACAGUUAUAUCAAGUAGAAGGACAUUCAUAAUCCAUCCCCAAUGGUUCUGCACGCUUCAACUUUCUUCUCUUUUCUUCCCAGAAUCCGUUUUGUCCUACAGAUGUUUCUUGAUCACUGUUCUGUUGCUGUGAAGAGACACCAUGAUCAAGGCAGCUCUUAUAAAACAAAGCAUUUGAGGCUUAGAGGUUUCGUCCAUUUCCAUCAUGGUAGGAAGUAUGGCGCUUGCAGGCAGACAUGGUGCUGGAGGAGAAACUGAGACUUCUACAUCUGGAUCCUCAAACAACUGGAACAGAGAGACUCUGAGCUGGGAAUGGGCUUUUUGAAACCUCAAAGCCCACCCUCAGUGACACACUUCCUCCAACAAGACCACGCCCCCUAAAUCCUCCCAAGUAGUUCCACUUCCUGGGGGCGGGGCGGGGAUUGCAUUCUCAAAGCACUGCAAGAUGAUAUAAACACCACAGGAGACACAUUACUCGUUCAACAGUGGCACAGCUUCACAAUGCAAGUUCUAGUAUUCUUUGUCUCCAAAUCAGCUUGGUAGCAUUCUCAGAACACCCUGUCUCUAUUUCUCAUGAUUCUCCACUCCUCCCACACCUCUGGGUUUCUCCUUUGCUAUAACAAAAACAAUAAAGCAGUGUUUCUCAAAGUGGGGAUCA